rnacentral:rRNA from 1 species
UACGUUCCCGGGCCUUGUACACACCGCCCGUCAAGUCACGAAAGUUGGUAACACCCGAAGCCGGUGGCCUAACCCCUUGUGGGAGGGAGCUGUCGAAGGUGGGACUGGCGGUUGGGACU